rnacentral:rRNA from 1 species
CCUACGGGAGGCAGCAGUGGGGAAUAUUGGUCAAUGGGCGCAAGCCUGAACCAGCAACGCCGCGUGGAGGAUGAAGGCUUUCGGAUUGUAAACUCCUUUUGUUAGGGAAGCAAAUUACGGUAUCUGUCACGUAAUCACCGGCUCACUACGUGCAAGCAGCCGCGGUAAUACGGAGGGUGGACGCGUUACUCGGAAUUAUUGGGUGUAAAGAGCGUGUAGGCGGGAUAGCAAGUCAGAUGUGAAAACCUAUGGGUUAACCAUAGAACUGCAUUUGAAAAUGUUCUUCUAGAGUUGGGGAGAGGUAGGUGGAAUUCUUGGUGUAGCGGUGAAAUGCGUAGAGAUCAAGAGGAAUACUGAUUGCGAAGGCG